UUAUAGAGAACAAAGGUUCAAUUCACUCAUAUUUCCACAGGCUGUACAGAAGGCAUGGCUGGGAAGGCCUCAGGAAACUUACAAGCAAGGUAAAGGGGAAGCAGGCACAAGCUUCAGAUGGCAAAGCAGGAGAGACAGAGAGUUUCAUGGUAUGCAGAUUUGAAUAAGAAACAAAGUGGAAGAAAAAAGUGAAGGAAAGAGAAGAGGAGAAGAAAUCUGGAAGGAAUGAGAAACAAAAUAGGAAGGAAGAAAAGGAACAUCUUCAUUGAGGUCCAGUCCCUUUAUGGAAUCUCAUUAACUAACCACAUGGGCUGUUCUGCUUUAUCCAACAACAUCAGCAAUGGAGGCAGUUUCCUGCUACAGAGAGAAGCAUCAGGCUCUGGAGGAAAAGAGUCUAGAGUGAUACACAGUAAACUCUCUAUGAGGUCCUGUGGCUGCCCCCUGGGAAAGCAUGUGGAGGAGGCUCUUACUCAGGUGAUAAAUGAAGGUUCGGCAGAUCUCUUGGGAAGAGAACACAGGACACAGCAACGGUUAAAAAUUGGACUACUUUAUUUUUAG
rnacentral:lncRNA from 1 species